rnacentral:tRNA from 1 species
CCAGCUGUAGCUCAGUUGGUUAGAGCGCUGCACCGGAAUCGCAGGGCCGUAGGUUCAAUUCCUACCAGAGGA